AAGUCGUAACAAGGUAACCGUAGGUGAACCUGCGGUUGGAUCAUUAAAAAAUCUAAACCCAAGGGGGAGAGGAGCUCAACAGCUUUUCUCUUUCCUUAACAACACCUUGCGAAUUAUUGAACACUUUUUUGGCGGAUGACUAGUGGAAACACUAUCGCCGCCAAACAAAACAAACACCUUUUAUAUUUUGGAACUGACUUUUUCAUUAAACUAAUGAAAGAAAACAACUUUUAACAACGGAUCUCUUGGCUCUC
rnacentral:misc_RNA from 1 species